rnacentral:ncRNA from 1 species
GGAACUCUGGAGAGUCUCUGAAAGCAGGAGCGCCGAAGGUGUAAGGACACUAUAUGUCCGAUCUCUCAGGCAAAAGGACAGGGCA